rnacentral:rRNA from 1 species
GAAUUGUUCGCAAUGGGCGCAAGCCUGACGACGCAACGCCGCGUGGAGGAUGAAGAUCUUCGGGUCGUAAACUCCUGUCGAGCGGGAAGAACGUUCCGCGGUUGAAUAGACCGUGGAAGUGACGGUACCGCUAAAGGAAGGCCCGGCUACCUCCGUUCCAUCAGCCGCGGUAAUACGGGGGGGGCAAGCGUUGUUCGGAAUUACUGGGCGUAAAGGGCUCGUAGGUGGCCAACUAAGUCAGACGUGAAAUCCCCAGGCUCAACUUGGGAACUGCGUCUGAUACUGGUUGGCUUGAAUUCGGGAGAGGGAUGCAGAAUUCCAGGUGUAGCGGUGAAAUGCGUAGAUAUCUGGAGGAAUACCGGUGGCGAAGGCGGCAUCCUGGACCGAGAUUGACACUGAUGAGCGAAAGCCAGGGGAGCAAACGGG